GACAGAGGCCACGAACGUUGUUCGGAAUCACUGGGCAUAAAGCGCACGUAGGCGGCUGGGUCCGUCCGAUGUGAAAGCCCCCGGCUCAACCGGGGAAUUGCAUCGGAUACAGCCCGGCUUGAGGACGGUUGGGGUGAGUGGAACUCCUGGUGGAGCGGUGAAAUGCGUAGAUAUCAGGAGGAACACCGGUGGCGAAAGCGGCUCACUGGACCGUAACUGACGCUGAGGUGCGAAAGCCAGGGGAGCAAACGGG
rnacentral:rRNA from 1 species